CUACAACCGUACGGACUAUUUCUGGGCUACAAACUGAGAUACAUUACUUGAAGAAUUUGACAAUGGUUCCAUUUUAUGUAACUGUUUUGCUCUCAUCAGCAUUAGGUAGCCCCUCGAAUGCUGAUGUUCCCUCUUUAGAUGGGAUGAAGUUCAUUCAAAAUGGGCAAAAUAUCACUCUGAAUUGUCCUUUUGCAACUUUUGAAGCGCUAGCGACUGCAUGGCUCAAACAGACU